rnacentral:rRNA from 1 species
GAUGAACGCUGGCGGCGUGCCUAACACAUGCAAGUCGAACGAAGCACCUUACCUGAUUCUUCGGAUGAAAGUUUGGUGACUGAGUGGCGGACGGGUGAGUAACGCGUGGGUAACCUGCCCUGUACAGGGGGAUAACAGCUGGAAACGGCUGCUAAUACCGCAUAAGCGCACGAGGAGACAUCUCCUUGUGUGAAAAACUCCGGUGGUACAGGAUGGGCCCGCGUCUGAUUAGCUGGUUGGCAGGGUAACGGCCUACCAAGGCAACGAUCAGUAGCCGGUCGGGUAGGAGGAACGGUCACAUUGGAACUGAGACACGGUCCAAACUCCGACGGGAGGCAGCAGUAGGGAAUAUUGCAGAAGGGGGGAAACCCUGAUGCAGCAACGCCGGGGGAGUGAAGAAUUGUUUCGGUAUGUAAUGCUCUAUCAGCAGGGAAGAGAAUGACGGUACCUGACUAAGAAGCUCCGGCUAAAUACGUG